rnacentral:rRNA from 1 species
GGUUCUCGCGUCGGACGGGUGAGUAACGCGUGGGAACGUGCCCUUCUCUACGGAAUAGCCCCGGGAAACUGGGAGUAAUACCGUAUACGCCCUUUGGGGGAAAGAUUUAUCGGAGAAGGAUCGGCCCGCGUUGGAUUAGGUAGUUGGUGGGGUAAUGGCCCACCAAGCCGACGAUCCAUAGCUGGUUUGAGAGGAUGAUCAGCCACACUGGGACUGAGACACGGCCCAGACUCCUACGGGAGGCAGCAGUGGGGAAUCUUACACAAUGGGGGCAACCCUGAUCUAACCGUGCCGCGUGAGUGAUGAAGGUCUUAGGGUUGUAAAGCUCUUUCAACUGGCAAGAUAAUGACGGUACCAGCAGAAGAAGCCCCGGCUAACUCCGUGCCAGCUGCCGCGGUAAUACGGAGGGGGCUAGCGUUGUUCGGAAUUACUGGGCGUAAAGCGCACGCUAGGCGGACUGUAAAGUCAGAGGUGAAAUCCCAGGGCUCAACCUUGGAACUGCCUUUGAAACUAUCAGUCUGGACUUCGAGAGAGGUGAGUGGAAUUCCGAGUGUAGAGGUGAAAUUCG